AUAAGUUUUUGAAAGAAAAAUGUAUUUCAUUAAUGAUAAAACUUAUUACAAUUUCAUUUUCUCUGUUCUGUUAUAUGUUUCUCUCAUGAGUAUAGAAAAAAUAAAGAAAAUAUAAGGCUUCAGAACUUAGACACCUAGUGUAAUAGUGUUAACCUCAAAAAUGAUGGAAAGACCAAUCUAUUACACUCCUGACAACGGUCAGCAGAGCUUCCAGAACUCCUCUCCUCAACUAUGGCUCCUUCAAAUAUUAUGUUGAUGAUGCGGCUAAGAAGCUAGUUGAGGAUGGAGGCAGGUCAUUUCUAGCUCCCUGGCUGAUCCUGCUGCUGGACAUCGGAAAGAGCGCUCUGGCCUAGCCAUCUGGCCUCGAGGGGAGUAAUUUGGCCAUCUUCAGGACUCCUGCGUAAGGGAGAUAGGUGAUAUCUCCAGCCAACGUAGGACCUUGCUGGAGGAACCUCCUCUGGGCAGCGGCUGUUAGCAUCGAAGAACCUGUUCGGUCCCUUAGGACCACAGAAGGGAAGAACAGCAGAACUUCUGAUAUUCUCUUGGUUCAAGAUGCUUACAUCAACCAAUGUCUGCAGGAGAACAUCAAAAGCUGUCUGAUUCUUCACGUGGUGACCCAUCGGCGAGGCGCUGACGAUAUUCAUCGCCCUCCUCACCGCUUCUUCCAGGUCCUCCAUAUGCCGUCCCCACCAUCCAGAGUUGUUCUCCACUAAAGCCCGCAAGGAGUGAACCUCGAACUUCAGCAACUCCUCCAGGCGACAAGUUUCGGAGGCCACCUCCUUCGCUCCCGAUGUUGCUUCUCUGGCCUUGGCAACCUCGUCCUUUAGCCAGCUCCUCUCCCCUUUCAAAGCCAGCCCUAGAAAUGGGUAGUCCCUGCUAUCUAUUCUGCCAGCCCUAGAAAUGGCUCAGCCGGAGGUAGGGUCCAGCGGCUAGAAGAGCACCGCACGUCAAGCGGCGUCUGCUACGCCCUCGACGGCCCAUGAAAAUCCGGAUGGCCGAGUGCUGCCCACACCUGGUCAUACUCAUAACCGCAUCAGGUCUCCAAGGUGAACAGCCUCUGGUCGAUGGAGCAAUGGUAGGCAAGGGAAGUCGGCAAAAUGGAUCCGUAACUUCGGGAAAAGGAUUUGUUCUGAGGGUUGGGCACGGGGGUCCCAGUUUUGAACCAAUCGACUGUCGGCAAACUACUUGAGCUACUAUCGUGGCGAGAGCGGGUCGUCGCGUGCCGGCUGGGGGACGAACUGGGAACGUUCCCCUCGAGGGACUUCCCUGGGCGUCGAACAACCGACUAAAAACUGGUACAAACAAGGGGAAUCCGACUGUUUAAUUAAAACAAAGCAUUGAAAUGGUCCCAGCGGAUGCUCACGCAAUGUGAUUUCUGCCCAGUGCUCUGAAUGUCAAAGUGAAGAAAUUCAACCAUGCACGGGUAAACGCCGGGAGUAACUAUGACUCUCUCAAGGUAGCCAAAUGCCUCAUCAUCUAAUUAAUGACGCACAUGAAUGGAUUAAUGAGAUUCCCACUGUCCCUGUCUACUAUCCAGAGAAACCACAACCAAUGGAAUUGGCUUGGCAGAAUCAGCGGGGAAAGAAGACCCUGUUGAGCUUGACUCUAGUCCUACUUUCUGAAAUGACUUGAGUGGUGUAGGAUAAGUUCGAGCCUUUCCUGUUGGCGGAAGUGAAAUACCACUACUUUUAACGUUAUUUUAAAUAUUCUGUGAGAUGGAGACGGGGCCUGGCCCCUCCUUUUGGAUCCAAGUCCUGCCCCGACGGGACGAUCCGGGCGAAAGACAUUGUCAAGUGGGGAGUUUAGCUGGGGCGGCACAUUUGUUAAAAGAUAACGUAGGUGUUCUAAGAUCAGCUCAACGAGAACAGAAAUCUCGUGCGGAACAAAAGGGUAAAAACUCGUAUGAAUCUGAUUUCCAGCACGAAUAUUAAGCUAGAUGUGUCAAAAAAGUUACCACAAGGAUAACUGGCUUGUGGCAGCCAAGCGUUCAUAUUGUCGUUGCUUUUUGAUCCUUCGAUGUUGGCUCUUCCUUUCAUUGUGAAGCAGAAUUCACCAAGUAUUGGAUUGUUCACCCACCAAUAGGGAACGUGAGCUGGCUUUAGACCGUCGUGAGACAUGUUAGUUUUACCCUACUGAUGAUCGUACUACGAUAGUAAUUCAACCUAGUACGAGAGGAACCAUUGAUUGACACAAUUGGUCAUCGCGCUUGGUUGAAAAGCUACCAUGUGCGCAAUUACGAUUGAACGCCUCUAAGUCAGAAUCCAUGCUGAAAAUGCGGCGCAGUGCUCGUCAUCCGCCCGGCGUCCCAAAGUAGGGGACUUUGAUCCCCAUGGGCGGCUGACGGAGGUCGCUUCCUUCCGCGGGACAUAAAGUCCACGGCAGACAC
rnacentral:rRNA from 1 species